ensembl:lncRNA
GUAGGUCCUCCUUCCUCGUGCCUCCGAAACAGCUCAGAAUCGUCGAGGCAUGGACUCCACAAGACCUCUGAAGGUGCGCUGUGGUAUCUGGAACCGAGACGUCGAUCCUUUAAGUCCUGUAAGUUGCGAGGUCGGCCCUCCAUGGGUUCUUCGGACUUGUUUGUCCAGGACGUCCCACAGACGCUCGAUCGGAUUGAGAUCUGGGGGAUUCGGAGAUCGAGUCAACACCUUGAACUCUUUGUCAUGUUCCUCAAAGCGUUCCUGAACAGGUGCUGUAGUGUGUCAGGGAGCGUUAUCCUGCUGAAAGAGGGAACUGAUAUUAGGGAAUAGCGUUACCAGGAAGGGGUGUACUCAAUCUGAAACAGUGUUUAGGUAGGUGGUUUGUGUUAAAGUAACAUCCACAUGAAUGACCCGAGGUUUCCCAGCAGAACAUUCCACAGAGCAUCACACUGCCUCCACCAGCUCGCCUCUUUCCCAUAGUGCAUCCUGGUGCCUUCUCUUCCCCAGUAACGGCUCAUUCACAGGGAUGCGUAUGGUGGAUGCCUCGUACAAACGGAUUUACGGAAGGAGUCUCCAGUGUCAUCUUCAGGUCAGCCUACACAAGGAGAAAUCACGUGCUGAUCAUAAAAGGAAAUGUGUGUGUGUGUGUGUGUGUGUGUGUGUUAUUAUUAUUAUUAUUAUUUUUUACAGUAUGGAGGAUGAAGGUUAAAACUCGACCCGAAACCCUGCGGCUAAACCAGACACCAAACAGACGCUUCACUACUGAGGAGGAAAUACAGUCUGACACUCGCUUCUCAUCACAUGAACACUGUAGGCAGCCAAAAAAGUGUGUGCGUGUGUGUGUGUGUGUGUGUGUGUGUGUGUGUGUGUGUGUGUG